GAUGAAGAACGUAGCGAAAUGCGAUACUUGGUGUGAAUUGCAGAAUCCCGUGAACCAUCGAGUCUUUGAACGCAAGUUGCGCCCGAAGCCAUUAGGCCGAGGGCACGCCUGCCUGGGCGUCACACGUCGUUGCCCCCCCAUCUACUCCUUCGGGAUUGCGGGGGGCGGAUGAUGGCCUCUCGUGCGCCUCGUCGCGCGGUUGGCCUAAAUGCCAAGUCCUCGGCGACGCACGCCACGACAAUCGGUGGUUGCGAAACCUCGGUUGCCUGCCGUGUGCGGUCGUCGCGCAUCGAGGGCUCGAAAAAAUUGCCGGGCUUCGGCUCGACUUUCAACGCGACCCCAGGUCAGGCGGGGUUACCCGCUGAAUUUAAGCAUAUCAAUAAGCGGAGGA
rnacentral:misc_RNA from 1 species